rnacentral:lncRNA from 10 species
GUAAUAGUAGUGGGCCACUAGUGUGCCUUGGCCCGGUUGUUCGCUGCACCACUCUGACCGAAGAUGAAGUUGUCCGGCCUGAAGAUUCGCCCGAAGGGCACAGAGUCCAUGAUGCCGGGCUCCAGAUCCAAGAGCACAGCGCGGGCACCGCUGGGUCCCAGAGGAUUGUAUUCAAAGAGUGAUAUCACAGACAACAGAACCACAAGGACUUCAGAGAAUGGAGAGGUCAGUUGUGUUGGUGGGAAGUGCAGUUGAGAGUUCCAAGAAUCAUUUAGGCAACAAGUUCCAUGGCUCUGAAGCACUACUGACAUAUUUCAAUUUUGUGAAGUAUGUUGUUCUAGGCUUUCCAGAAAAAAAAUGUAUAAAUAAAUAUAUUCCAUAUGUUUAUAUAAAGAGAGAUAGAGAGGGAGAGAAGAGAUCUGCUAUAUGCAUUCCAUUUUCCUUUUCUUUUUUCAUUUUGUUGCUUCUUUUGAUGUUGUUAUUGCUAUGCACAUGUGUAUGAGUGUGUGUGUAUGUCUGUGCACUUUUGCUUUUCCUGUAGAAAAUUUCAAAAGUCCAUAAUAUAAUCUUAGGCUAUGUUGUAGGUAACACAAUAAUCAUAAAUAAUAUACAUAAAUCUGUAUUUUUGAGGUAUCUACUUUUAUCAAUAUGUUGAAGUUUUUCUUUGAAAAUGAGGAAGUGAAUAUAAUUACAUUUCCUCUUAAUUUUCUAAAUGAAAACAUUAAUUUCCCACUUUCUGAUAUUUAUAUUUCUAAUAUUGUUAGAGUUUAUAAUGUUUUUGCUUUUUUUUUGGUACCCACAAUUCUCAUAUUGUUCUUAGCCUUGGUUCUCUAUUUAAAUAGACUCAAUGUAAGUUAGUAGUUUAUUCAUACAAUUGACACCAAAUUUCUGAGUUCUUUUGUUUGAUUAAUCCUUGAAGGUCAAUGGCUAUUUCUUGGCUUUAUAGUUCUGUAUCAGUUUUCUGAAAACACAGUGUAUUUUUUUGAACUUCACAUGCAAGUUUUUUAUAUCUUGAAAAAGUAUUUUUUCAUUAUAUAUUUGAAUGUAUGUUCUCAUUUAUUCCAUUCUGUUUUUAAGAAACCAAUCAUGUGAAAGUUGGAUGUCCUUUGUCUUUUUGACAUAAAUAUCAUUUUCUCUGUAAUAAUUUUAAUCUCUUUGUAAUUUUUCCACUAUUUUUGCAUGAUUUUUUCCUCAAGCUAAUGUUUUUUUAUUUUAAGCUAUAUCUGUUCUAAUAUUGGUACUUUUGAGUCUUUUUUAUUAUCUUCCUUUUUUUCCUGAGGUAUGGAAUAAAGUUUUAUCACUUUCUAUGAUCUUGAAAUUUUUUUAUUAAAUCUGUUUUUUUUUCUUUUACCUUGGGUAAAUACCUAAGAAUGAGAUUUCUGGGAUAUAGUGCACAGGAAUGUUCAACUUUCUAGAUAAUGCCAAAACAUUUUUUUCAAAGUGAUUGUGCAAAAUUGUACCUUUCAGAGAAAUGUAUAAGAGAUCA